rnacentral:rRNA from 1 species
CCUACGGGUGGCAGCAAUGAGGAAUAUUGGUCAAUGGACGAGAGUCUGAACCAGCCAAGUAGCGUGAAGGAUGACUGCCCUAUGGGUUGUAAACUUCUUUUAUAUGGGAAUAAAAUGUUCCACGUGUGGGAUUUUGUAUGUACCAUAUGAAUAAGGAUCGGCUAACUCCGUGCCAGCAGCCGCGGUAAUACGGAGGAUCCGAGCGUUAUCCGGAUUUAUUGGGUUUAAAGGGAGCGUAGGUGGAUUGUUAAGUCAGUUGUGAAAGUUUGCGGCUCAACCGUAAAAUUGCAGUUGAAACUGGCAGUCUUGAGUACAGUAGAGGUGGGCGGAAUUCGUGGUGUAGCGGUGAAAUGCUUAGAUAUCACGAAGAACUCCGAUUGCGAAGGCAGUUCACUGGACUGCAACUGACACUGAGGCUCGAAAGUGUGGGUAUCAAACAGGAUUAGAUACCCUUGUAGUC